ACUUCCAAAACAGUUCCACCAAGUUGAGACCAAGCAUUCAACUAUAUGAGCCUGUGGGGCCAUUAUCAUUCAAACCACCACAGAUAACUAACAAUGAUCUCCAGGCUGAGGGUAAUAUGAAGACUUGGAAAGAAAGAGGAGAAGUGACUCUUGUGGGGCGUGUUUGGUUAUAGAUGAUGCUAAAUACCCAUGCUGUCAUGAGUAGGCAGUUCUUACCCAAAGUGUGAAACUCAGAAUUGGGAGGUCAGAACGAGGGGCGUGCAGCUGACAAGUGGGGAUCAGAGACACAGCUGAGGCCAGCAAGCUGCUAGGUAGAUGGUGCAGAAAUCACCACUGGAAAAGACAGAACACCCGGAAGCCAAGGAGGACGUCUCAAAGUGGCAAGUAGCUUGUGGGAGGAGUCAGGGAAGGUCUGGGUGCAGUCAGCAUUGUAGGAAGAUAAGUAAGAGUGAGUAUAUCCCAGAAGGCAAUAGCAUAGGACAUUUCAGGGAUGAAGAUCAGUUCAUUCAUUCAAGCUGUCAAAAGUAGCCAAAGGGUACAGAGUGAUGAAUGUGGGCAAGCAGCAAAACCAGGCUGGGGAGACCAUCUGUCACUUGGAAAGAAAAGACUCUUCUCUCCCCAAAUUGGAGAGGUAAAGCAGCCUACAGCAUGGGAACAAGGCAAUUAAGAUCAUCUUUUCAGAGGUCCCAGUGACAGGCAGGGAAGGGAGUUUCCAAAGCCUAACAGGAAUACAAGGCUCCCCAUGUCACUUUGCUCAUCCUGGUUUUUUUUGGUCUUCUGUGAACAUGCAGUCAGAAAAUGAAAGGAAAGGCAGCAGAACCUAUCCCAGGUCACCUGGGUCUCACUCUUACAGCUUCGAGAGCUUCGAGUACUUCUCAGAGUCUUGAUUGCUGAGCCAGUGUGAAGAGAUUAUACAGAGCGUUUUCAAGCCCUAAGUCUGGAUACCUUGACUUGCUUUCCCAUAUAACCUGACAGUGGUCCAGUUAAGACACUUGAAUAUUGUAGUAGUCACUUGUCUGCUGCUGCGAUAAAACACCAUAAAAGCAUCUUAUAGAAGGAAGAGCUUAUUUGGGGCUUCCAGUUCCAGAGGGAUAGGAGUCCACCACCAUGGCAGGCAGGCAGGCAGGGUGCUGAGCAGAAGCUGAGAGCACACAGUUUGAUCCACAGACAGGAAGUAGAAAGGACUUGUUGAAAUGGCAUGAGUCUUUAAAUAUUAAAGCAAGCUGGUCUAUAGUGACAUACCUCCUGCAACAGGAUCAUCCUUCCUAAACAGUUCUAGCAGCUCGAAACCCAGUAUGCAAACAUAUGAACCUAUGGAGAUCAUUCUCAUUCAAACCACUAUAAAUAUAUAAUGCUUUUUGCACACGAGUGCUGGAAGUUGUAUGUCUUAUGACGAUAGCUAUUAUAAAUUCUAAAACAUCAGCUAAAAGACUUUUAUACAGUCAGGCAUAGUGGCACACAUGUUUAAUCCCAACACUCGGGAGGCAGAGGUAGGUGGCGCUCCAUGAGUUUGAGGUUAGUCUGGUCUACAGAGUGAAUUCCAAGAAAGCCAGGACUACAUAGUAAGAACCUGUCAUGGGGGAAAAAAAGAUUUCAUACUCUGCCUCUUGGUACAGACCCAGCUUGUGCCUUUCCUAUAGACCCUCUCAGUCUUCCCUUGUAGCUCAUCUCCAUUCCUUUGUAUUAGCUUGUGGUAAUACUCAGAAACACCUUUUUAUCAGGGAAUCCCAGUGACCACAUUAGGCUGGGAGUCAGGUAGGUGAUCUUCCUUAUCCUUCCUGUUCUCCAUUAAAACCUCCCCAGUCUCACCUGUUGCAGGUACCUUUUCUCCCACUCCAACUCCAUUCACUUGAGACUCCACCUUGGUACAGACACAGGAAUACUAUAGCCCUGCCAUUCUUGUCUCUCCAGAAAUAUUUUUUAUCCUACUGCAGCCUACUUUCAGAAACCCCCUCCUGCAACUACAUCUCUACUACCAAGGGACCCUGCCUCUUGUUGUAGACUGUAUCUCCCUAGCUCUUUCUCAUGCCCUUAACACUCUUUUUUCCCCUAGCCCAUCUUUAUUCCUCUCUGCCACCCACUGACAUGUAGAAGUACUCUCUACCAGGAACUCACAGUUGUCAUAUUUGCUGCCUAAAAGCCUAAGAGAGCAAAAGCAACCAGAAACUAAGACCAACCCAGCAAAGGCAAGAUGAGAUACCAACACAUACAAAUACCUCAAUCAUCCAGAUACCAAGACCCCAAAGCAAAAACACAAACUGAGCAGCCAAGAAGAAUUUCCUCCACCAGAGCCCAGUAAUCCUAGUAAUGCAAGACAAGGACUUCAAAAUACAAAUUAUGAAUAUAUUCAAGGACCUGAAAGAGAAUAUAAAUAAAUCUCUUAAUGAAAACUGAAAACAUAAACAGUUGACUAAAAUAAUGAAAACAAUUCAAGACAUAAAGGAAAAUUUAACAAAAAAUAAAAUCACUAAAGAAACCCCAAAGUGAAAUUAAACUGGAAGUGAAAAAUUUAGGAUGUCAAGCAAAAAUCCUCAGAGGUAAGCCUCACCAACAAAUUACAAAACAUGAAAGAAAGAAUCCCAGGUGUUGAACACAAAGCAGAAGAGACAGACACCUCAACUAAAAAUUGUUAAAUCUAAAAAAAUACAGGCACAAAAUAUCCAGGAAAUAUGGAUACCUUGAAAAGACCAAAUCUAUAAAUAGGGAUUGAGGAAGGAGAAGAAAUCCAGGUCAGCAGCACAGGAAAUAUGUUUUAACAAAAUCAUAGAAGAAAAUUUUCCCAACCUAAAGGAGGUGCCUACUAAGGUACAAGAAGCAUGCAGAACACCGAAUAGAGAGAUCCAGGAAAGAAAUUUCCCAUUACACAUAAUAAUCAAGACACUAAAUAUACAGAGCACAGAAAGAAUAUUAAUUGCUGCAAGGAGAAAAAGAGCAAGUAAUAUAUAAAAAGUAGUCUCAUUAGAAUAACACCUGACUUCUCAAUGGAGACCUUGAAAGCCAGAAUGGGCUGGAUGGGUGUUAUACAAAUUCUAAGAGAUCAUAGAUACUAGCCCAUACUACUAUACCUAGCAAAAUUGUCAAUCAUGGUUUCCAGAGAAAGAAAACCAUCCCAUGAUAAAAACAAAAUUCAAAAAAUAGCUAUCUACCAAUACAGCUUUUCAGAGGGUACUUGUAGGAAUACUUCAGUCAGAAGAGGCCAACCACAUCCCCAAAAAUGUAAGGAACAAAUAAUUCCAGACCAUUAAGUCAAAAGUGGGGCAAUGUACACGCCAUAACAGCAAAAUAACAAGAAUCAUUAAACACAACUCCUGUUUGUUGAUAACUCUCAAUAAAGAAAUUUAGACUUAUUAGAAAAUCAAUCUUUCUGCUGUGUUGUAAAAAUAUAAAAAAUAAAAAAGGGCUGUCUUUUAUCCCCACUAGGUCCGGCAACUCAGUGCCCCAAGAUAUCUGCUAGAUAUCUUUUUUUUUUUUUUUUUGGUUCUUUUUUUCCGGAGCUGGGGACCGAACCCAGGGCCUUGCGCUUCCUAGGCAAGCGCUCUGCCACUGAGCCAAAUCCCCAACCCCUCUGCUAGAUAUCUUAAUCUCAGUAAGCAAAGCCUCUUACCCACUUUGCUCCAUCCCCUGUAACACUGCCAACGGACUCUCUCUGAGCCUGGCAGCAAUCUCUCUACCUAUCUAGUUCCCAAGGCAGGUUUCCAUUCCAGAAGCACACAUGCCAAUUCUGUGGUGGCCCAUACUCUCUAGCUGCCGCACACUUUCCUACACUUAAAUCGCUACAUGAAAGAACACACAACACAAUAAUCUUUGGCCCUAUUAAAUAAGAUAUAAUUGCCCACCUAAACAUACAAAGCCCAAUACACAUCCACCCCUUAAAAACAUUCAUAACAACCUGUAAAGGUAGUGUGGAAUCUUACAUCACCUGCCAUAUUGUCCUGCCACAGCUUCUCUUCCUCUCCCUCCUGUCUCUUCCUCCUUUCCGUUCCAGUCUCCUCCUCUUCCUUCAAUCUUCUCUCCAGCCCAUCCUUCCUUUCAUCAAAUGACAGGCCUCCUUCUAUCCUGUACCUGCCCCUCACCUGUAUUUUACAAAUUCAAUGGGAAGAAGGCUCUGGUGAAGUCACCUGAGUCCUGAGCAUGUGACUAGGCAGCAGUCCUUGGGGCAGUGGAAUUAGCAUCAAAAUACAGAUAACUCCAGAGCAAACUACAACAUUGCUGCAUCCAAGAAACACAGGUCAUUCUCAAGGAUAGAAAACACCUCAGGGUGCAAGGAUAGAAAAAAACAUUUCAAGCAAAUGGACCCAAGUGGCAAUAGACUUCAAAGUAAAAAUGACCAAAAAAGGUAUGGAAGGAGAUUACAUACUAAUCAAAGGAAAAAUCCACCAAGAGGAUAUUGCAAGUCUAAACUUUUAUACACCAAGCACAGGACAACAAAGUUCUUAAAAGAAACAUCACUCUUGCAAACAAUUGAAUACUCAUCCUUACACCAUGAUAGUGGGUGUGGUUGUUAUUUUUGGUUGUCAACUUGACUUCAUCUGAAAUUAACUAAAACCUAAGAGGCUAGGUACACAUGUGAGAAAUUUUUCUUAAUUAAAUCACUUGAAGUGGGAUGGAUUAGGAUGCUAAAUGUGGAUCUUCUGAGGCAAGAAGAUCCACUUUAAAUUUGGUUUUAUCAUGGGAUGCUUUUCUUUCUCUGGCAAUUGAGAUGGAUAGUUUUGCUGAGUAUAAUAGUUUGGGCUGGCGUCUGUGAUCUCUUAGAUUUUGUAAACCAUCCAUCCAAGCCAUUCUGGCUUUCAGGGUCUCUAUUGAGAAGUUAGGUGUUAUCUAAUGAGUCUACUUUUAUAUGUAAUUUGAGUUUUUAAAUCUGGAUCACUCCAUCUUGUGGGAACCUAUAUAAAGGACCUGGAAGAAUGAAGUGCAUUUUCUUUGCCUUCUUGCUCUCUUCUUCUUAACUGCAUUUGUUCACUGGUAUUAGAGCCAGUGAACUUCUGACAUACACUUAAGACCAGCUGGAAGUCUAGCCUUGUGAACUGAAUAAGUACUAGAUUCUUAAACUCUUCAUAUCAUAAGGCUAUUUUGGAAUAAUCAGACAUGUUGGAAUAGAAUCCAUAAGUCAUUCUCACCAAUAGACAAGUCAUACAGACAAAACUAAACUGAAAAAUGCUAAAGUUAAAUGACACCACGAAUCAAGUAGACAUAGGAGUUAUCUGAAUAUUUCAUCUAAACACCAAAGAAUGUGCUUUCUUUUUGGCAGCUCAGGAAACUUUUUCCAAAAUUGACCACAUACUUGGACACAAAGCAUAUCUCAACAGAUAGAAGAAAACUGAAGUAGCACCUUGCAUCUAUCAGACCACCACAGAUUAAAGCUAGAAAUAAGCAAAAACAGAAACAAAAGAAAGCUUAUAAAUUUCUGGAAACUGAACAACUCAUUACAGAAUGAAAAACGGGUUAAGACAUAAAUCAAGAAGGAAAUUUAAUUUAAUGUUUUUAGAUUGAAUGAAAAUGAAAACACAACAUAUGCAAGCCUGAGAGACACAAUAAAGGCAGUUCUAAGAGGCAAGUUCACAGUACUCUGUGUGUGUGUGUGUGUGUGUGUGUGUGUGUGUGUGUGUGUGCAUCAUACAUACUCAGAAUCCAUGAAUAGUUGCACUUAAGAGAUAUCUCUAAUAGCAAUUUAAAGGUAUAUCUGAUAGCUCUAGAACAACAAGAAGAAAUAACACCCAAAAAUGUUGUGGUUUGCCUUGAAAUUUUCUCUGAAUUUGUUAAAUAAAGGCAAGAGCGUGAGAUUUGGACAGAGGGAAAAGUCAGGAGCAAGAGGGGGAUUAGAUUCAGAGAAUAGGGUUAGAGAGGACAGUUGGCGACAGUUGAGCCAGUGGAACCUGAGCAGGAGGGGGAGAGGAUGGAACAGUUGAGAGUGUGAGGGGAGGAGAAGGGAACGGUUUAGAGACAGGAUGGGGAACUGAGAAGAGUUAGAAGAGACAGGAGAUGGAGAGAGGGGAGAAGCUAGGAGUCGUUGUAAGAGAAAGAGAAACUAAAGCAUGAAAGGGUUGAUAUAUUUGGGAGAGUGAGUAAAGACAGUUUAGAGACAGGAUGGGGAACUGAGAAGAAUUAGAAGAGACAGGAGAUGGAGAGAGGGGAGAAGCUAGGAGUCGUUGUAAGAGAAAGCGAAACUAAAGCAUAAAAGAGUUGAUAUAUUUGGGAGAGUGAGUAAAGAAAAGAGAGAGAGAGAGGAGAAGCAAGGAGUCGUUGUGGGAGAAGGAGAAGCUGGAGACUUGGUAAAUAAAAGGUGCAAGGGAUAGAUGGUACCGGGCUUUGUAUGUUUAAGUGGGCAAUUAUAUCUUACCAAUUGGAUCAAAGAUUAUUGUGUGGUGUAUUUUUAUAUGUAAGAGUCUCAGUGUAAGAAAAUGUGUGGCUGGGCUGUGUUUCCGCCAAGAUAUCCAGCAGAUAUCUGGGGCACUGAGGUGUGGAACCCAAGCAGGGUAAAACACCCAGAGAAAAACAUUUACCGUUUCAUUUUUAUUUUUUUAUUUUUAUUAUUUUUUACAACAACAUAUGGCGCCCAACUAAUCCAUUAGAACUCAACUAACCUGAGAUAGAAGUUUACUUCCCUCUCAACCCCAGAAUAGGCCUCUGAUAGAGAUCCAGGCAGGAGUACUGGUGGAUUGGGAAUUGACUGGGUCUGAGGGGUCUACGAAGAAUCGAGAGGACUGCACGUAUUCUGAAGCAGAGGGAGAAAAAGGUACAAGGGGCUUCAGAUCAGGUAUACCACACAAUCCUACAGGACAAGCGAUUGUGGAGAGAUCUAAUCGAAGUCUAAAGGAGAUGCUUAACAGGCAAAAGGGGUCAACAAAAACUCCCAGAGAUAGGCUACAUAGUGCUUUAUUAACCUUGAAUUUUUUGAAUGCUGAUGAACAAAACAGUACAGCUGCUGAAAGACAUUGGAUUGUGGAAAAGACUACUGAACUAAACCAGCCUGCUUAUAUUAAGGAUAUUCUGACGUCAGAAUGGAAAAUGGGAAAUGUGUUACGCUGGGGAAGGGGUUAUGCCUAUGUUUCUACAGGAGAAGAAAAGCUGUGGGUUCCUUCCUAGCUGAUAAAGAUCAGACAUGACAAGGGGAGACCUCCUGAAGUCCUUGGCAACACAGAAGAAAAGGGAGACUAAGACGAUCAACAAAUAGGUAAUGUAUAUGUGAGGAUGUUUAGGUCUCCGUGUAUGAACUGGCUGAGACUAAAAUGUCUAUAAACAGCCAGUAACAUUUUGAGUACGAAUUUCUCAUAACUUGUUAUUACAUGCAUCCUGUAAAAUGGCAUGUAUUACAAAAUUAUGUUACGGUUUGAUUAUAUGAUCAAACUAACCUGGAGAAAGGCAGUCACCUUCCUUUGUUGACCUUUAUUAACUAAGCUGUGCACCAUGUGGAUGCGCUUACAGAACUAUCUGAUGCUUGUAAGUCUUGUGUGCUGCAGGAUGAAAGAAGAGAAAGACAGCCCUGAAAUGAUCCACACUCUGGGAUGCUGGGAUUCCGGGACCUUCGUGUUUGAUUCCCCUCAAUGACACUGAAGCUGCUUCAUUUAAAGGCUUGCUUUCAGAACUUUCCCAGAGUGGCCAUCUUGUUUAUCCAGCCCUUCAGACUGUCAUAGUCAAGAGGUCAGCUAAUCGAUGAACUUUCUCAGCACAGAGUGACUGGCAGGCAAAUCCUGGCUAGCUCUACUUGGACAAAGCCAACUCUUCCUAAUUCCCCUUGGGCCCCAGAAGGGAAUUCUUCGCCCCAAUCCGCCUGGAAGCAGACGAGGAAGAUCAUCGUCCCCGUUCCUUAUGUUGGGGUGGAAGGUUCUGGUUAUUCUAAGAACUGUGGAUAUGUUUUCUUUUAAGGGAUACUAUACAAAUGUAGCUUUGGGCAGGGGGAACUAGAGAAUGUAAACUCAGGGAUUGCUACUUUUCCUUCCCUUUUUUGUAUCCUUCUUAGAUAUAGUAAUACAUAGAAGUUGGAGAGGUGGGCAAACAGGGAUAGAUUGGCAAACUUACUCUUAAACAAAAAUUUUACAGCUAUAUUUUACAUUGAUAGAAAUGUUUGUAAUUGAUACAAAGUUGAAGCUGCAAUCUUUUCAUUGGUAUAGAAUGCAUUUUACACAAAUGCGAGGUUUUCAUUGGUAUACUUUCUUGUUGAUUUAUAAUUGAGAUUAAUAUUGCUACUUUAACAUGGGCAUUGUGCCUCCACUAUGCAUCUAAGAAUACAAGUCUUAGACCCAGUCCUAUAACUGCUAUUAUACAUUAAUUUUAGUUGAUUAACCAGUACCAGCUAAAGGUCAGAACCUAAGUCAUGGUUCUAAGUCAGUUUAGAUGGGUUUUGUAAAUACUUCAAUUAGAGAGGGCCAACGGUAUUCUAUGCUUAACAGUUCAGAAACGCCUAUGUAGAUAGGAAAUCUUCAAGGGCAUCAGAAAUCCAAAGAAUAACCUGUUUAUGGACAUUUCUUCAUCUAGAUCAUUUGACUAGAGACUUGUCUGCCCCUGACAGGACCCCUUAGACUCGAAGAAGAAAUUGAGCAUCAAUGCAGUUGCUCAAAUCGUGGUAACACAGCCACUGAGCAAAUUGCUUCAAUUCAUCUACAGACAAGACACUGUCCAGAAAGGGACAAAUUAUGCAGAAUAGUCGACUGAUAAUCUCUGCCGAGGCAGGGUGAUCAGCCCUUCAAAAUCUGCAUUGCUAAGGUCUGUCAGAUGAUCCUGGGCCAGAAGGCUGAAGACUGAUGCUCCGGCAUAUUAAGGAAUAAGGGGUCUGUCCAGGUGAUCAGCAGUCUUUAUAAAUUGGCUAAGCUUGGAAGCCAUGUUUUGUGCUUCCUAUAUUUUCAGGUAAUAUUAAUCAUUCUUGGAUUUCUGAUGUGGUUGGAGACUAGUAGUCUCAUAGACAACCCAAACGGUUUAGUAUUGAGAAAGAUGAUAAAUCUGUUAGAGUAGUUUUAGGGUAGCAUAGGAUCUAGAACCAGGAUAUAGUCAAGUAUAGUUUUUAGUAUAGAUGACAUGGUUAAUGAACAAAAUUGAUGGACUGGAUGAUGAGUGUAUUGUUGGUUUUAUAAAUUGCAGAAUGGUAAUAAUAAUACUUAGCUCACAUAUGUAUAGGGAAAAGGUUUUUUAACUGGACAAAAAGGGGGAAAUGUUGUGGUUUGCCUUGCCAAGAUAUAAUAUAGAUAACAUGGUUAAUGAACAGAAUUGAUGGACUGGGUGAUCAGCAUAUUGUUGGUUUUAUAAAUUGCAGAAUGGUAAUAAUGCUUAGUUCACCUAUGUAUAGGGAAAAGGUUUUUUAACUGGACAAAAAGGGGGAAAUGUUGUGGUUUGCCUUGAAAUUCUCUCUGAAUUUGUUAAAUAAAGGCAAGAGCGUGAGAUUUGGACAGAGGGAAAAGUCAGGAGCAAGAGGGGGAUUAGAUUCAGAGAAUAGGGUUAGAGAGGACAGUUGGCGACAGUUGAGCCAGUGGAACCUGAGCAGGAGGGGGAGGAUGGAACAGUUGAGAGUGUGAGGGGAGGAGAAGGAAGCUAGGAGGAGAAGGGAACGGUUGAGAGACAGGAUGGGGAACUGAGAAGAGUUAGA